AGAUAAAGCUGAAGAAGUUCCCUGGUUUUUCUUGAAAUAUGUAUUUGAAUGUAAGUAAUGCUACUUUUGGCUUAUUCUAGUUGAUUGUGGAAAAUGAAUGUCUGGAUU